GAUGAACGCUGGCGGCGUGCCUAAUACAUGCAAGUCGAGCGAACGGACGAGAAGCUUGCUUCUCUGAUGUUAGCGGCGGACGGGUGAGUAACACGUGGAUAACCUACCUAUAAGACUGGGAUAACUUCGGGAAACCGGAGCUAAUACCGGAUGAUAUUUUGAACCGCAUGGUUCAAAAGUGAAAGACGGUCUUGCUGUCACUUAUAGAUGGAUCCGCGCUGCAUUAGCUAGUUGGUAAGGUAACGGCUUACCAAGGCAACGAUGCAUAGCCGACCUGAGAGGGUGAUCGGCCACACUGGAACUGAGACACGGUCCAGACUCCUACGGGAGGCAGCAGUAGGGAAUCUUCCGCAAUGGGCGAAAGCCUGACGGAGCAACGCCGCGUGAGUGAUGAAGGUCUUCGGAUCGUAAAACUCUGUUAUUAGGGAAGAACAUAUGUGUAAGUAACUGUGCACAUCUUGACGGUACCUAAUCAGAAAGCCACGGCUAACUACGUGCCAGCAGCCGCGGUAAUACGUAGGUGGCAAGCGUUAUCCGGAAUUAUUGGGCGUAAAGCGCGCGUAGGCGGUUUUUUAAGUCUGAUGUGAAAGCCCACGGCUCAACCGUGGAGGGUCAUUGGAAACUGGAAAACUUGAGUGCAGAAGAGGAAAGUGGAAUUCCAUGUGUAGCGGUGAAAUGCGCAGAGAUAUGGAGGAACACCAGUGGCGAAGGCGACUUUCUGGUCUGUAACUGACGCUGAUGUGCGAAAGCGUGGGGAUCAAACAGGAUUAGAUACCCUGGUAGUCCACGCCGUAAACGAUGAGUGCUAAGUGUUAGGGGGUUUCCGCCCCUUAGUGCUGCAGCUAACGCAUUAAGCACUCCGCCUGGGGAGUACGACCGCAAGGUUGAAACUCAAAGGAAUUGACGGGGACCCGCACAAGCGGUGGAGCAUGUGGUUUAAUUCGAAGCAACGCGAAGAACCUUACCAAAUCUUGACAUCCUUUGACAACUCUAGAGAUAGAGCCUUCCCCUUCGGGGGACAAAGUGACAGGUGGUGCAUGGUUGUCGUCAGCUCGUGUCGUGAGAUGUUGGGUUAAGUCCCGCAACGAGCGCAACCCUUAAGCUUAGUUGCCAUCAUUAAGUUGGGCACUCUAAGUUGACUGCCGGUGACAAACCGGAGGAAGGUGGGGAUGACGUCAAAUCAUCAUGCCCCUUAUGAUUUGGGCUACACACGUGCUACAAUGGACAAUACAAAGGGCAGCGAAACCGCGAGGUCAAGCAAAUCCCAUAAAGUUGUUCUCAGUUCGGAUUGUAGUCUGCAACUCGACUAUAUGAAGCUGGAAUCGCUAGUAAUCGUAGAUCAGCAUGCUACGGUGAAUACGUUCCCGGGUCU
rnacentral:rRNA from 1 species